GAGAGUAUAGCUCAGAGGUAGAGCACAUGCCUAGCAUGCAUGAGGUCCUGGGUUCAAUCCCCAGCACUUUCA
rnacentral:tRNA from 1 species